UUAAAAAUCACUAUUUCACAUUCAGAUUUUCAAGCAGACACAAACCCCGGUCCUACAGACCGGCAGAAGUACACUCAUACUUGAAUGAGGAGGGCACUUCUGUGCACUUGAGGGAUCGAGCAGGAAAAACAGAACUAAAGUAUAGUGUCAGAGAGAUCUUGCUGAAGUUGCUCUCUGCUUAGAGGCUUUGGAUGAAAAACAUCUAUAGUGGAUUGGAUGAGGUGUUUCAAUUGAGUUGAAAGUGAGAUGGAGGAGGAUUGGGUCUCUUAAACAGGCCUGACUUCAGUUUCAAGAGCACUAUAGGUUUAAAUGGACAGAUUGGAGUCAUCAGGUCAUAUUUAUGUUAGCUUCUGCCUUUUGGGAGCCAAGACAUGGAUGUCUGAGACAUGGAUGCAAGUUCAACUUCAGCAUCUCAACAUUCAGUGGCCUCAAUCUGCUCCAGGAUGGGAGGGGUUUGCGUGUGUUAUGGAGAAAUAAAGGGCAGUGGUUUGGGACUGAAGUUGGGUUUUGAGAGUUGGCCAUGAGCCAGCCUCAGCAGGAAGCCUGCUGGUUCACACGGACAAAAGCAGUAAUGACUAGUUCCAAGGAUGUCUGCGGUGGACAUGACUGUCAUCAUCCAUCCCAAC